AUUGAACGCUGGCGGCAUGCCUUACACAUGCAAGUCGAACGGCAGCACGGGUGCUUGCACCUGGUGGCGAGUGGCGCACGGGUGAGUAAUACAUCGGAACAUGUCCUGUAGUGGGGGAUAGCCCGGCGAAAGCCGGAUUAAUACCGCAUACGAACUACGGAUGAAAGCGGGGGACCUUCGGGCCUCGCGCCAUAGGGUUGGCCGAUGGCUGAUUAGCUAGUUGGUGGGGUAAAGGCCUACCAAGGCGACGAUCAGUAGCUGGUCUGAGAGGACGACCAGCCACACUGGGACUGAGACACGGCCCAGACUCCUACGGGAGGCAGCAGUGGGGAAUUUUGGACAAAGGGCGAAAGCCUGAUCCAGCAAUGCCGCGUGUGUGAAGAAGGCCUUCGGGUUGUAAAGCACUUUUGUCCGGAAAGAAAACCUUGGCCCUAAUACGGUCGGGGGAUGACGGUACCGGAAGAAUAAGCACCGGCUAACUACGUG
rnacentral:rRNA from 1 species